rnacentral:rRNA from 1 species
GCGGUAUGCUUAACACAUGCAAGUCGAACGGUAGCAGUAUCUUCGGAUAGCUGACGAGUGGCGGACGGGUGAGUAAUACAUAGGAAUCUACCUUUUGGAUGGGGAUAACUAGAGGAAACUCUAGCUAAUACCGAGUAAGCCAGAGAUGGGAAAGCAUGGGACCGCAAGGCCAUGCGCCGAAAGAGGAGCCUAUGAUGGAUUAGCUAGUUGGUGGGGUAAAGGCCUACCAAGGCAACGAUCUAUAGCUGGUCUGAGAGGACGACCAGCCACACUGGGACUGAGACACGGCCCAGACUCCUACGGGAGGCAGCAGUGGGGAAUCUUGGACAAUGGGGGAAACCCUGAUCCAGCAAUACCGCGUGGGUGAAGAAGGCCUGAGGGUUGUAAAGCCCUUUUAGUGAGGAAGAAGGUUUGAGAAUGAAUAAGGCUCAAAAUUGACGUAACUCACANAAAAAGCACCGGCUAACUCUGUGCCAGCAGCCGCGGUAAUACAGANGGUGCGAGCGUUAAUCGGAAUUACUGGGCGUAAAGGGUGCGU